GAUGAACGCUGGCGGCGUGCUUAACACAUGCAAGUCGAACGGUGAACGAGGGAGCUUGCUCCCUCCGGAUCAGUGGCGAACGGGUGAGUAACACGUGAGCAAUCUGCCCUGGACUCUGGGAUAAGCGUUGGAAACGACGUCUAAUACCGGAUACGAGGCGUGGGGGCAUCCCCAACGCCUGGAAAGAACUUCGGUCCAGGAUGAGCUCGCGGCCUAUCAGGGAGUUGGUGAGGUAACGGCUCACCAAGCCGACGACGGGUAGCCGGCCUGAGAGGGUGACCGGCCACACUGGGACUGAGACACGGCCCAGACUCCUACGGGAGGCAGCAGUGGGGAAUAUUGCACAAUGGGCGCAGGCCUGAUGCAGCAACGCCGCGUGAGGGACGACGGCCUUCGGGUUGUAAACCUCUUUUAGCAGGGAAGAAGCGAAAGUGACGGUACCUGCAGAAAAAGUUCCGGCUAACUACGUGCCAGCCGCCGCAGUAAGAC
rnacentral:rRNA from 1 species